GACGAACGCUGGCGGCGUGCUUAACACAUGCAAGUCGAACGGAAAGGCCCUGCUUGCAGGGUACUCGAGUUGCGAACGGGUGAGUAACACGUGGGUGAUCUGCCCUGCACUUCGGGAUAAGCCUGGGAAACUGGGUCUAAUACCGGAUAGGAGCCAUUUUGAGUGUGAUGGUUGGAAAGUUUUUUCGGUGUAGGAUGAGCUCGCGGCCUAGCAGCUUGUUGGUGGGGUAAUGGCCUACCAAGGCGGCGACGGGUAGCCGGCCUGAGAGGGUGGACGGCCACAUUGGGACUGAGAUAAGGCCCCGACUCCUACGGGAGGGAGAAGUGGGGAAUAUUGAACAAUGGGCGCAAGCCUGAUGCAGAGACGCCGCGUGGGGGAUGACUGCCUUAGGGUUGUAAAACCCUUUCGCUAGGGACGAAGCUUUUUGUGACGGUACCUAGAUAAGAAGCCCCGGCUAACUACGUG
rnacentral:rRNA from 1 species